rnacentral:rRNA from 1 species
GAUGAACGCUGGCGGCGUGCCUAAUACAUGCAAGUCGAGCGAACGGACGAGAAGCUUGCUUCUCUGAUGUUAGCGGCGGACGGGUGAGUAACACGUGGAUAACCUACCUAUAAGACUGGGAUAACUUCGGGAAACCGGAGCUAAUACCGGAUAAUAUUUUGAACCGCAUGGUUCAAAAGUGAAAGACGGUCUUGCUGUCACUUAUAGAUGGAUCCGCGCUGCAUUAGCUAGUUGGUAAGGUAACGGCUUACCAAGGCAACGAUGCAUAGCCGACCUGAGAGGGUGAUCGGCCACACUGGAACUGAGACACGGUCCAGACUCCUACGGGAGGCAGCAGUAGGGAAUCUUCCGCAAUGGGCGAAAGCCUGACGGAGCAACGCCGCGUGAGUGAUGAAGGUCUUCGGAUCGUAAAACUCUGUUAUUAGGGAAGAACAUAUGUGUAAGUAACUGUGCACAUCUUGACGGUACCUAAUCAGAAAGCCACGGCUAACUACGUGCCAGCAGCCGCGGUAAUACGUAGGUGGCAAGCGUUAUCCGGAUUAUUGGGCGUAAAGCGCGCGUAGGCGGUUUUUUAGUCUGAUGUGAAAGCCCACGGCUCAAUCGUGGAGGGUCAUUGGAAACUGGAAAACUUGAGUGCAGAAGAGGAAAGUGGAAUUCCAUGUGUAGCGGUGAAAUGCGCAGAGAUAUGGAGGAACACCAGUGGCGAAGGCGACUUUCUGGUCUGUAACUGACGCUGAUGUGCGAAAGCGUGGGGAUCAAACAGGAUUAGAUACCCUGGUAGUCCACGCCGUAAACGAUGAGUGCUAAGUGUUAGGGGGUUUCCGCCCCUUAGUGCUGCAGCUAACGCAUUAAGCACUCCGCCUGGGGAGUACGACCGCAAGGUUGAAACUCAAAGGAAUUGACGGGGACCCGCACAAGCGGUGGAGCAUGUGGUUUAAUUCGAAGCAACGCGAAGAACCUUACCAAAUCUUGACAUCCUUUGACAACUCUAGAGAUAGAGCCUUCCCCUUCGGGGGACAAAGUGACAGGUGGUGCAUGGUUGUCGUCAGCUCGUGUCGUGAGAUGUUGGGUUAAGUCCCGCAACGAGCGCAACCCUUAAGCUUAGUUGCCAUCAUUAAGUUGGGCACUCUAAGUUGACUGCCGGUGACAAACCGGAGGAAGGUGGGGAUGACGUCAAAUCAUCAUGCCCCUUAUGAUUUGGGCUACACACGUGCUACAAUGGACAAUACAAAGGGCAGCGAAACCGCGAGGUCAAGCAAAUCCCAUAAAGUUGUUCUCAGUUCGGAUUGUAGUCUGCAACUCGACUACAUGAAGCUGGAAUCGCUAGUAAUCGUAGAUCAGCAUGCUACGGUGAAUACGUUCCCGGGUCU